rnacentral:rRNA from 1 species
GAUGAACGCUGGCGGCGUGCUUAACACAUGCAAGUCGAACGAAGCACUUUAUUUGAUUUCCUUCGGGACUGAUUAUUUUGUGACUGAGUGGCGGACGGGUGAGUAACGCGUGGGUAACCUGCCUUGUACAGGGGGAUAACAGUUGGAAACGGCUGCUAAUACCGCAUAAGCGCACGGCAUCGCAUGAUGCAGUGUGAAAAACUCCGGUGGUAUAAGAUGGACCCGCGUUGGAUUAGCUAGUUGGUGAGGUAACGGCCCACCAAGGCGACGAUCCAUAGCCGACCUGAGAGGGUGACCGGCCACAUUGGGACUGAGACACGGCCCAAACUCCUACGGGAGGCAGCAGUGGGGAAUAUUGCACAAUGGGCGAAAGCCUGAUGCAGCGACGCCGCGUGAGCGAAGAAGUAUUUCGGUAUGUAAAGCUCUAUCAGCAGGGAAGAUAAUGACGGUACCUGACUAAGAAGCACCGGCUAAAUACGUGC